rnacentral:rRNA from 1 species
UGGUACCUACGGGGCGCAGCAGUGGGGAAUAUUGCACAAUGGGGGAAACCCUGAUGCAGCGACGCCGCGUGAGCGAUGAAGUAUUUCGGUAUGUAAAGCUCUAUCAGCAGGGAAGAAGAUGACGGUACCUGACUAAGAAGCCCCGGCUAACUACGUGCCAGCAGCCGCGGUAAUACGUAGGGGGCAAGCGUUAUCCGGAUUUACUGGGUGUAAAGGGAGCGUAGACGGCGGCGCAAGCCAGAUGUGAAAGCCCGGGGCUCAACUCCGGGACGGCAUUUGGAACUGUGUGGCUGGAGUGUCGGAGA